GAUGAACGCUGGCGGCGUGCCUAAUACAUGCAAGUCGAGCGAACAGACGAGGAGCUUGCUCCUCUGACGUUAGCGGCGGACGGGUGAGUAACACGUGGAUAACCUACCUAUAAGGCUGGGAUAACUUCGGGAAACCGGAGCUAAUACCGGAUAACAUGUUGAACCGCAUGGUUCAACAGUGAAAGACGGUCUUGCUGUCACUUAUAGAUGGAUCCGCGCCGCAUUAGCUAGUUGGUAAGGUAACGGCUUACCAAGGCAACGAUGCGUAGCCGACCUGAGAGGGUGAUCGGCCACACUGGAACUGAGACACGGUCCAGACUCCUACGGGAGGCAGCAGUAGGGAAUCUUCCGCAAUGGGCGAAAGCCUGACGGAGCAACGCCGCGUGAGUGAUGAAGGUCUUCGGAUCGUAAAACUCUGUUAUUAGGGAAGAACAAAUGUGUAAGUAACUAUGCACGUCUUGACGGUACCUAAUCAGAAAGCCACGGCUAACUACGUG
rnacentral:rRNA from 1 species